GAACACCUCCGCCCGGAUACGAGCCUUCAGCUGGCCCAGCACACCACGGGCCUCCAGCGUCUCCCUCACGGCUAAAAAUGUACAGAAAUGGUUUUCAAAUAAUACAAGAAUUACCGAGAGAAACUCCCCGCCUGACUACUGUCCAAAUUGGCUGCUUCCAGCUCAGAUUUUGAAGGCUGUGAAAACCUCACUUCCCCUGCGUUUGCCAAGAGAACCUUUUGAAGGUAUCAAACGGGUCAAGGUUCAUCCGGAGGGAGCCUGAGAACAGCACUGGGUCCUGAGAGAACAGACAUCAGAUGUUAUUCAUCAGAAAACUGUCCAGCACUCUCUUUUCGCUCUGUGCUUGCAAAAGUGUGGAUGAAGUCAGCAAAGGCACCAUGGCGGCUGAGGAGCUCCUGGUAGGAGCCACUCUCUGUGAUUUCUCCAUCUACCAGGACCAGGAUGAGGUCAGCCUGCGGCAGGAAACUCAUCCCAUGGGUCACCAGAAUGCGGCAGGUAGGAUGUCGAGGUCAGGCAGCAGGGCGCAAGCCUCCAGCACACGGUGGUACCAUGUUUUCAGCUUCUCACGGCCAAAUAUGAUGUUGUCUUGAACUGUGGCGUUCUGGAUCCAGGCCUGCUGGGGGACGUACGCUACAGAGCCCUGAAGACAGAAGUCAAAACAGAGACCAUCAAUAUUUAUUAAAUGUAACCACAAGCUAUGAAUAGAUCUUGUACAUGGAACAUAAGCUCAGUACCUUGACAGAAACUUGGCCACUUCUUUUCUCUGUUUCCCCGAGCAUGGCGGACAACAAAGAAGACUUUCCACUGCCUACAUGUCCAACCACAGCAACUAGGGAACCUCGUGGCACACGGACGUCGAUCCUGUCAGCAAUGACAGGAAUUGUCCUAUAAGUCUCUUUUUUUUUUUUUUUUUUUUUUUUUUUUUUGCAGAUUUUUUAAAAAACCUUUUUUUUAGACACAUACCGUUUGAGACAUGGAGCGCCCUCCGCAGACCAGCUGAAAGUACCGUUUUCUAAGACCACAUCGUCUCCAUCUGAACAACAAAGAAAGGUGGACUAAAAUGAACAAAACCUCCAAUGAGCACAGAAAAGAAGAAUGUGUUCUUUGAAACCUGAGUAACAAACAAACAUCCAAAACAAAGUUUUCCCUUGAAGUUAUUCGUUAGAGUGCAGUCUGGGUGUAAUUACAAGUGAAUUUGCUUAAUCAUGCAAAUUACAGAGCUGUUGCUUUUUCACAAGCUGUCUUAGGAAGUGUUGACAGAUUACAGACAGAGGAGCGCAGUAUAUUUUUUUCAUUUCUCUAUGAAUCAUAUGUCUGAAUUCAUGCUGUGAUUUACGUUCAACCACUAAAUGGGAACAUCCUAUAAUUACCCUGUCUACCAGUCAGCCCGGGACCCAGGAAGUGACAGUGCACAUGAUCCAUACAAGGCUGUGGUACUCCACAGUUAUAAACAACAACAUCUAACAGGCGGCUUAUAUUGAUUAUGACAGCCUAUGAUUUCAGGCUGUAUGGGAGCCAAAUUGGGGAAAUUUGUGAAAUGAAACGUUGCAGCAGAGUACCUUAUUCAUUCAGAGUAAUAGUUUAUAUAUGGGUGGGGUUCUUACCAGAGCUCAAUGGAGCCUUUGAGACAUUGUCCACUUUAAGUUCCUCUGAGCACAGGUACUUUCCCAGACGUCUCAGUGAAACUACGGCCUGAAACAGUCAGAGAUUAGUUAGCUGACCUAUAUCUGUCAACUUAAUCAUGAAAAUAUCAUCAGAGUCCAUGAUUAGAGAAGACUUCUCACAGCAAUCAUGGGUAUUGAGGAGAACUGUCACCUACCUGCAUGGUUGUACUUAUUGCAAAUGGAAGCUGACUAAGUGGGGUCUUCAGGAUGUUGAUUAGUGCCAUUGAGACAAACACUUUCUGGGCAUCCAGGACAUUUCUGUCAUCGAGCCCCACAUAGACUCCAAACAUGGCAAAGGCAAUC